rnacentral:rRNA from 1 species
AGUGAACGCUGGCGGUAGGCCUAACACAUGCAAGUCGAACGGCAGCACAGUAAGAGCUUGCUCUUACGGGUGGCGAGUGGCGGACGGGUGAGGAAUACAUCGGAAUCUACUUUUUCGUGGGGGAUAACGUAGGGAAACUUACGCUAAUACCGCAUACGACCUACGGGUGAAAGCAGGGGAUCUUCGGACCUUGCGCGAUUGAAUGAGCCGAUGUCGGAUUAGCUAGUUGGCGGGGUAAAGGCCCACCAAGGCGACGAUCCGUAGCUGGUCUGAGAGGAUGAUCAGCCGCACUGGAACUGAGACACGGUCCAGACUCCUGCGGGAGGCAGCAGUGGGGAAUAUUGGACAAUAGGCGCAAGCCUGAUCCAGCCAUACCGCGUGGGUGAAGAAGGCCUUCGGGUUGUGAAGCCCUUUUGUUGGGAAAGAAAAGCAGCAGGUUAAUACCCCGCUGUUCUGACGGUACCCAAAAAAUAAGCACCGGCUAACUUCGUG